rnacentral:snRNA from 1 species
GGGUGAGAGUGAUAUGGGUGGGACAUCUGUCACCCCACUGAUCACCAAGGUUGAUUCAGCUGAUCUGGCUGGCUGGGCAAGUGUCCCCUGCCUCCCUCAGGGCUCCAUGUGGUUCACUCCCAGAUUUGACAGAAUUCUAGCUUGUGGAAAUGACAGGA